rnacentral:rRNA from 1 species
GACGAACGCUGGCGGCGUGCCUAAUACAUGCAAGUCGAACGGAAAGGCCCUGCUUUUGCGGGGCGCUCGAGUGGCGAACGGGUGAGUAACACGCGAGUAACCCGUCCUUGACUUUGGGAUAACAUUAGGAAACUGGGGCUAAUAUCGGAUAGGAGCUCUUGCUGCACGGUGGGGGAUGGAAAGAUUCGGCGGUUGGGGAUGGACUCGCGGCUUAUCCGCUUGUUGGGGGGGUAGUGGCUUACCAAGGCUUUGACGGGUAGCCGGCCUGAGAGGGUGACCGGCCACAUUGGGACUGAGAUACGGCCCAGACGCCUACGGGAGGCAGCAGGGGGGAAUAUUGCACAGUAAGCGGGAGCCUGAGGCAGCAGCGCCGCGUGCGGGAUGACGGCCUUCGAGUUGUGAACCGCUUUCGCCUGUGACGAGGCGUGAGUGACGGUAAUGAGUAAAGAAGCACCGGCUAACUACGUG